rnacentral:misc_RNA from 1 species
GAAAUGCGAUAAGUAAUGUGAAUUGCAGAAUUCCGUGAAUCAUCGAAUCUUUGAACGCACAUUGCGCCCUUUGGUAUUCCGAAGGGCAUGCCUGUUCGAGCGUCAUUACAACCCUCAAGCUCUGCUUGGUAUUGGGCACCGUCCUUUGCGGGCGCGCCUCAAAGACCUCGGCGGUGGCGUCUUGCCUCAAGCGUAGUAGAACAUACAUCUCGCUUCGGAGCGCAGGGCGUCGCCCGCCGGACGAACCUUCUGAACUUUUCUCAAGGUUGACCUCGGAUCAGGUAGGGAUACCCGCUGAACUUAAGCAUUUCGCUGCGUUCUUAUCGAUGCUAGUGACCUUUGC